rnacentral:rRNA from 1 species
GCGUAUGCAACUUGCCCUGCACAGGAGGAUAACCCGUCGAAAGACGGACUAAUACUGCGUACACUCACUGAGAGGCAUCUUUUGGUGAGGAAAGAAAAUCGGUGUAGGAUAGGCAUGCGUCCCAUUAGCUAGUUGGUGAGGUAACGGCUCACCAAGGCGACGAUGGGUAGGGGAACUGAGAGGUUUAUCCCCCACACUGGUACUGAGACACGGACCAGACUCCUACGGGAGGCAGCAGUGAGGAAUAUUGGUCAAUGGGCGAGAGCCUGAACCAGCCAAGUCGCGUGAAGGAAGACUGUCUUAUGGAUUGUAAACUUCUUUUGUAUGGGAAUAACGGGGCGGACGUGUCCGCUUGUGAAUGUACCAUACGAAUAAGCAUCGGCUAACUCCGUGCCAGCAGCCGCGGUAAUACGGAGGAUGCGAGCGUUAUCCGGAUUUAUUGGGUUUAAAGGGUGCGUAGGCGGCUUGUUAAGUCAGCGGUGAAAUCUUGGGGCUUAACCCCGAAACUGCCGUUGAAACUGGCGAGCUUGAGUGUAGAUGAGGUAGGCGGAAUUCGUGGUGUAGCGGUGAAAUGCAUAGAUAUCACGAGGAACUCCGAUUGCGUAGGCAGCUUACUAAGUUACAACUGACGCUGAUGCACGAAAGCGUGGGUAUCAAACAGGAUUAGAUACCCUGGUAGUCCACGCAGUAAACGAUGAUAACUGGGCGUAUGCGAUAUACAGUAUGCUCCUAAGCGAAAGCGU